AGGGGAGUAGUAUAGCGGUAGUACAUCGGUCUCCAAAACCGCGUGUGUGGGUUCAACUCCUUCCUCCCCUGCCA
rnacentral:tRNA from 1 species